AGGCGAUUAGCUCAGUGGCAGAGCACUGCCUUCACACGGCAGGGGUCACUGGUUCGAUCCCAGUAUCGCCUACCA
rnacentral:tRNA from 1 species